rnacentral:rRNA from 1 species
UACGAAGGGGGCUAGCGUUGUUCGGAAUUACUGGGCGUAAAGCGCACGUAGGCGGAUAUUUAAGUCAGGGGUGAAAUCCCGGGGCUCAACCUCGGAACUGCCUUCGAUACUGGCAAUCUUGAGUCCGGGAGAGGUGAGUGGAACUGCGAGUGUAGAGGUGAAAUUCGUAGAUAUUCGCAAGAACACCAGUGGCGAAGGCGGCUCACUGGCCCGGUACUGACGCUGAGGUGCGAAAGCGUGGGGAGCAAACAGG